rnacentral:misc_RNA from 1 species
CCAAUAGCGUAUAUUAAAGUUGUUGUGGUUAAAAAGCUCGUAGUUGAACCUUGGGCCUGGCUGGCCGGUCCGCCUCACCGCGUGUACUGGUCCGGCCGGGCCUUUCCCUCUGUGGAACCUCAUGCCCUUCACUGGGUGUGACGGGGAAGCAGGACUUUUACUGUGAAAAAAUUAGAGUGCUCCAAGCAGGCCUAUGCUCGAAUACAUUAGCAUGGAAUAAUAAAAUAGGACGUGCGGUUCUAUUUUGUUGGUUUCUAGGACCGCCGUAAUGAUUAAUAGGGACAGUCGGGGGCAUCAGUAUUCAAUUGUCAGAGGUGAAAUUCUUGGAUUUAUUGAAGACUAACUACUGCGAAAGCAUUUGCCAAGGAUGUUUUCAUUAAUCAAGAACGAAAGUUAGGGGAUCGAAGACGAUCAGAUACCGUCGUAGUCUUAACCAUAAACUAUGCCGACUAGGGAUCGGAUGAUGUUAUUUUUAAUGACUCAUUCGGCGCCUUACG